rnacentral:rRNA from 1 species
AGAGUUUGAUCCUGGCUCAGGAUGAACGCUGGCGGCGUGCUUAACACAUGCAAGUCGAACGAAGCACUUAAAUGGAUUUCCUUCGGGGAUGAAGCUUUUGUGACUGAGUGGCGGACGGGUGAGUAACGCGUGGGUAACCUGCCUCAUACAGGGGGAUAACAGUUGGAAACGACUGCUAAUACCGCAUAAGCGCACAACUUCGCAUGAAGUGGUGUGAAAAACUCCGGUGGUAUGAGAUGGACCCGCGUUGGAUUAGCUAGUUGGCGGGGCAACGGCCCACCAAGGCGACGAUCCAUAGCCGACCUGAGAGGGUGACCGGCCACAUUGGGACUGAGACACGGCCCAAACUCCUACGGGAGGCAGCAGUGGGGAAUAUUGCACAAUGGGCGAAAGCCUGAUGCAGCGACGCCGCGUGAACGAAGAAGUAUUUCGGUAUGUAAAGUUCUAUCAGCAGGGAAGAAGAAUGACGGUACCUGACUAAGAAGCACCGGCUAAAUACGUGCCAGCAGCCGCGGUAAUACGUAUGGUGCAAGCGUUAUCCGGAUUUACUGGGUGUAAAGGGAGCGCAGGCGGCGCGGCAAGUCUGAUGUGAAAGCCCGGGGCUCAACCCCGGUACUGCAUUGGAAACUGUCGUGCUAGAGUGUCGGAGGGGUAAGCGGAAUUCCUAGUGUAGCGGUGAAAUGCGUAGAUAUUAGGAGGAACACCAGUGGCGAAGACGUCUACUGUAUGACGAGUGACGGUGAGGGUCGAAAGCCUGGUGAGCCAACAGGAUUAGAUACUCUGCUAGUCCACGCCGUGAACGAUGCAUAGUAGGUCAUGGGGGACAUGGUUCUUCGGUGCCGUUGCAAACACAGUAAGUAUUCCACCUGGGGAGUACGUUCGCAAGUAUGACACUCAAAGGAAUAGACGGGGACCCGCACAAUCGGUGGAGCAUAUGGUUAAUUCGAAGCAACGCGAAGAACCUUAACAAGUCUUGACAUCUCGAUGACCAUUCUGUAACAGGAAAUUUUGUUCGGAACAUCGGUGACAGAUGGUGCAUGGUUGUCGUCAGCUCGAGUCGUGAGAUGUUGGCAUAAGUCCCGCAACGAGUGCAACCCUUAUCUUUAGUAGCCAGCAUUUCGGAUGGGCACUGUAGAGAGACUGACAGGGAUAACCUGGAGGAAGCCGGGGAAGACGUCAGAUCAUCAUGCCCCCUAUGAAUUGGGAUACACACGUGAUACAAUGGCGUCAACAAAGGGAGGCAGAUCUGCGAGGCCGAGCAAAUGUCUAAAAUAACGUUACGAUUCGGAUUGUAAUUCGCUAAUAGAAUACAUGAAGCUGGAAUCGAUAGUAAUCGCAAAUCAGAAUGAUGCGCAGAAUACGUUC